rnacentral:rRNA from 1 species
UACAGAGGGUGCGAGCGUUAAUCGGAAUUACUGGGCGUAAAGCGUGCGUAGACGGUUAUUUAAGUCAGGCGUGAAAGCCCCGGGCUCAACCUGGGAACCGCGCUUGAGACUGAUGGGCUAGAGUUCGGGAGAGGAUGGUGGAAUUCCCAGUGUAGAGGUGAAAUUCGUAGAUAUUGGGAAGAACACCGAUGGCGAAGGCAGCCAUCUGGACCGACACUGACGCUGAGGCGCGAAAGCGUGGGGAGCAAACAGG